GGACUACUAGGGUUUCUAAUCCUGUUUGCUACCCACGCUUUCGCGCCUCAGCGUCAGUAGUGGUCCAGCGCGCCGCUUUCGCCACGGGUGUUCCUCCUGAUAUCUACGCAUUUCACCGCUACACCUGGAAUUCCACUUUCCUCUCCCGCACUCCAAGUCUCUCAGUAUUCGGCGCACCCUCCCGGUUGAGCCGGGAGAUUUCACACCAAACUUAAAAGACCGCCUACACACCCUUUACGCCCAGUAACUCCGAACAACGCUUGCUGCCUACGUAUUACCGCGGCUGCUGGCAC
rnacentral:rRNA from 1 species